UGGGGAAUAUUGCACAAUGGGCGCAAGCCUGAUGCAGCCAUGCCGCGUGUAUGAAGAAGGCCUUCGGGUUGUAAAGUACUUUCAGCGAGGAGGAAGGCGUUGUGGUUAAUAACCGCAACGAUUGACGUUACUCGCAGAAGAAGCACCGGCUAACUCCGUGCCAGCAGCCGCGGUAAUACGGAGGGUGCAAGCGUUAAUCGGAAUUACUGGGCGUAAAGCGCACGCAGGCGGUCUGGCAAGUCGGAUGGGAAAUCCCCGGGCUCAACCUGGGAACUGCAUCCGAAACUGGCAGGCUAGAGUCUUGUAGAGGGGGGUAGAAUUCCAGGUGUAGCGGUGAAAUGCGUAGAGAUCUGGAGGAAUACCGGUGGCGAAGGCGGCCCCCUGGACAAAGACUGACGCUCAGGUGCGAAAGCGUGGGGAGCAAACA
rnacentral:rRNA from 1 species